UACAGAGGUCUCAAGCGUUGUUCGGAUUCAUUGGGCGUAAAGGGUGCGUAGGCGGCGCGGUAAGUCGGGUGUGAAAUCUCGGAGCUUAACUCCGAAACUGCAUUCGAUACUGCCGUGCUUGAGGACUGGAGAGGAGACUGGAAUUUACGGUGUAAGCGGUGAAAUGCGUAGAUAUCGUAAGGAAGACCAGUGGCGAAGGCGG
rnacentral:rRNA from 1 species